UAUCUCUCCAUACAAUCCGCCUCAAUCUUUGACGUUCCAUGCCUUUGGUAGCAUUCUCGACAUGAAACACUGGCUGACUAACAUCCUGAUUCUGACUCUCUGGCUAGAGUGUAAAGGAGAAGACAGUGUGACCCAGCCAAAAAGAGAUGUCAUUACUACUGAA